ensembl:snoRNA
GCCCUGUGGUUACUGUGGACUGGGGUGACAGUCCAGUUCCGCAGUUAUUAUGAACGGGCCAAAAGUAACACUGUGAUAUAUGCAUGGGGUCUGUAAUGUUUAAUGAGCAGUCUCCGUAGCCCGGUCACAGAGACAUAC